rnacentral:rRNA from 1 species
UACGUAGGGGGCAAGCGUUGUCCGGAUUUAUUGGGCGUAAAGAGCUCGUAGGCGGCUUAGCAAGUCGGGUGUGAAAACUUCAGGCUCAACCUGGAGAUUGCACUCGAUACUGCUAUGGCUAGAGUCCGGUAGGGGACCACGGAAUUCCUGGUGUAGCGGUGAAAUGCGCAGAUAUCAGGAGGAACACCGGUGGCGAAGGCGGUGGUCGUGGGCCGGCAACUGACGCUGGAGGAGCGAAAGCGUGGGGAGCAAACAGG